rnacentral:lncRNA from 1 species
UUAUUUUCUCUUCACAGGACAUGAGACUUCACAACCUGUUAAAAAUGAGCUUUUGGGACCUACUCAUCUAGGAAUAAACCAUUCUAGCUAUGAGAAAUCAGAUGGAACCUGAGAUCAGAGACUCAUUUUCUUGUAAAAUGCUUUCUCCAGAGGAUUUCAAAAAAGAAAAAGGGGAAGAACGGAAAAUACCUUGGGCCCCUGAAAUCACUAAGGAAAACUCAAGCUGGAAACUGCUUAGAGUGACCCUGCCUCCCAUUCUCUUCAGUCACUCCUCUGCUCACUGAGAUAGAUGCAUAUCUGAUUUGCCUCAUUUGAAAAGGUUAAUCAGAAACUCGAAAGACUGUAACCCUUUUUGUCUCACCUAUCUGUGACCUGAGUCUUCAUGCCUUUGCUUCAAGUUAUCCCGCAUUUCCAGACCAAACCAAUGUACUUCUUACAUAUAUUAAUUGAUGUCUCAUGUCGCCCUAAAUGUAUAAAACCAAGUUGUGCCCCAACCACCUUGGGCACAUGUCAUCAGGACUUCCUGAGGUUGUGUCACGGGCACAUCCUCAACCUUGGCAAAAUAAGCUCUAAAUUAACUGAGGCCUGUCUCAGAUGUUACUGGUUCACAUGAGUAACUCUUCUACAUGUCUUCUGCAUUCAACAGACACACACUGAACAGGAAUUCCCUACCCAACUCCUGCUGGGUAUGAAGCCAGAUGCUAGGAUUGAAGAGCUUUCAUGGGUGGAUGUACAUGGGACAAAUGUGAACACAGCAGGAUGGAGAGGGAGAAGUACCUACCAAUGCUUUGACCUGUCCUUAGUCAGUUCUCCUGGAGAUGACAGAAAGAAGCAUGUUAAGAAUGGAAAGAAGCUUGGACUCGGUGGUUCACACCUGUAAUCCCAGAACUUUGGGAGGCCAAGGCCCUUGCCAUAUUGGAGAAAUAUCAGAAAAUCCUUGAUGCGUCUCCUGGUUCAAAAGGAACUGAACAAGGAUUACGAGUAUCUAUCAACAGGAGCAACUCUGCUGGAUUUAAGAAUCUUCUUAAGCUUCUGUGGCAGUGGAGAUCCUUGGAAUGGUAAAGGAGCUUCUGGAUUUCUUUCUAUAGCUCAGCUACGUAAAGUACUUUUUGGAGACAACCACUCUCCAGGUUUCUCCCUUGAACGGAGGGGUCUGCGUGGGAUUCUGAAUAGUGGAGGCAUCCAUUGAGAAGAGUGUUUUCCACACCAUGCAGGCACUGUGGAUGCUUCUGGGAUUCUGGCAGGUGAAUCUGGGUAUGCUGGGUGAUAUUGAUGGCUUUUGUUGUUUGAUGCAGGAUCCAGUUGAGGUACAUAUACUGCAUUAGAUUGUUACAUUUCCUUUUUAAAUUUAACUUUUUGUGUGUGUGUGAUGGAGUUUCACUCUUGUCACCCUGGCUGGAGUGCAAUGGCACGAUCUUGGCUCACUGCAACCUCUGCCUCCUGGGUUCAAGCAAUACUCCUGCCUCCGCCUCCUGAAUAGCUGGGACUACAGGCACCCACAACCAUGCCCAGCUAGUUUUUGUAUUAUUAGUAGAGACAAGGUUUCACCAUGUUGGCCAGGCUGGUCUUGAACUCCUGACUUCAGCUGAUCUGCCCGCCUCUCAGGGGUACAUGUGUAGGUUUAUUAUAUAGGUAAAUUUGUGUCAUGGAAUUUUGUUGUACAGAUUCUUUUGUCACCCAGGUAUUAGUCCCAAUAUCCAUUAAUUAUUUUUCUUUAGCCUCUUUUAGUCUAGAAUAGUCACCCCACUCACCACCACCUUGGGGUUUUUUUGGUCACGUGGAACUUUUGGGGUUGAGAUUAAUUUACUAGAUUGUCCCCUGCUCCAUGCUGAUUUUAUUUGUUUUUGAGACGGAGUCUCGCACUGUUGCCCUGGUGGGAGUGCAAUCGCACGAUGUUGGCUCACACAACCUCCACCUCCCGGGUUCACACAAUUCUCCUGCCUCAGGCUUCCAAGUAGCUGGGAUUGCAGGCACAUACCACCACGCCUGGCUAAUUUUUUGUAUUUUUAGUAGAGACAGGGUUUGACUAUGUUGGCCUGACUGGUCUCAAACUCCUGACCCUGUGAUCCUCCCGCCUCUGCCUCCCAAAGUGCUGGGAUUACAGACGUGAGCCACCACGCCCAGCCUCCAUGCUGAAUUUCUAUAAUAGUUUCUUCAUGUUUGGAUUCAGAUCAAAUAUGUUUGGCAAGAUUACUUUGUAGAUGAUGGUUUGUACUUCUCACUGCCUCAUAUCAGGAGGAACAUAAAACCUGACCUGGGAAUCCCACAGUGAAUAAAUGCAUCUUAACAGUGUAUUAUGCUGUGUGGUGUGCUGAGUCCUCUGCUAUGCAGUGAACACACAAUGAGAACCGCUGAUAUGAUUGGGACGUGCAGAGAUAAAGAAAACCAAAGGGCAGACUUGUGGGUUGGGAAUAGGUACGCUUAACAGAAAAUCCAACUCCCAGUAGUCCAUCCCAAUACAAGCCAGGAGGCAGGCAGCCCAGAGCUGAUGUGACAGCUCCUCCUGAUUCAGGGUCUUGCUCUCUUUCACUCUGCUGUCACUGGGCUGUGGCCUUGGGUCUCAUGAAUCUAACAUGGCUUUUGCCUGCCAGACAUUGGGAUCCCUUCUAGGCAGGGAGGAGAAAAGGGGCACGUCAGCUGCCCUGAUCCCCUUUUAAGAAGCUUUCCCAGGGUGGCACCCAGUGAUUCUGCUCACACCUCAUUGGUUAGGACUGAUUCGCAUGGUUGCCCCAACAUGCACGAUUGGGAAAUGUAGUUGUUAGGAGCAUUGCUACCCUGAGCAAAAACAUGGUUCUGUUAGAAAGGAAGGAGAG